CUUAGCUUGCUAAGGCCGAUGGCGACCGGCGCACGGGUGAGUAACACGUAUCCAACCUGCCGUCUACUCUUGGACAGCCUUCUGAAAGGAAGAUUAAUACAAGAUGGCAUCAUGAGUCCGCAUGUUCACAUGAUUAAAGGUAUUCCGGUAGACGAUGGGGAUGCGUUCCAUUAGAUAGUAGGCGGGGUAACGGCCCACCUAGUCUUCGAUGGAUAGGGGUUCUGAGAGGAAGGUCCCCCACAUUGGAACUGAGACACGGUCCAAACUCCUACGGGAGGCAGCAGUGAGGAAUAUUGGUCAAUGGGCGAGAGCCUGAACUAGCCAAGUAGCGUGAAGGAUGACUGCCCUAUGGGUUGUAAACUUCUUUUAUAAAGGAAUAAAGUCGGGUAUGGAUACCCGUUUGCAUGUACUUUAUGAAUAAGGAUCGGCUAACUCCGUGCCAGCAGCCGCGGUAAUACGGAGGAUCCGAGCGUUAUCCGGAUUUAUUGGAUUUAAAGGGAGCGUAUAUGGAUGUUUAAGUCAGUUGUGAAAGUUUGCGGCUCAACCGUAAAAUUGCAGUUGAUACUGGAUAUCUUGAGUGCAGUUGAGGCACGCGGAAUUCGUGGUGUAGCGGUGAAAUGCUUAGAUAUCACGAAGAACUCCGAUUGCGAAGGCAGCCUGCUAAGCUGCAACUGACAUUGAGGCUCGAAAGUGUGGGUAUCAAACAGGAUUAGAUACCCUGGUAGUCCACACGGUAAACGAUGAAUACUCGCUGUU
rnacentral:rRNA from 1 species